CGCCUCUUGAUAAAACAUAAGAGGUCCAGCCUGCCCAGUGACAAAAUUCAACGGCCGCGGUACACUAACCGUGCGAAGGUAGCAUAAUCAUUUGUUCUUUAAAUAAGGACUAGUAUCAACGGCACCACGAGGGUUAUACUGUCUCCUAUCUCUAAUCAGUGAAACUGAUCCCCCCGUGAAGAAGCGGGGAUCUAGCUAUAAGACGAGAAGACCCCAUGGAGCUUUAAACCCAACAUGCACCCCCUCACCUAAACAUCAACUUAACCUAGAGGACCUGCAUGCUGGUUUUAGGCUGGGGGGGCCACGGAGUAAAAUUAAACCUCCAUAACAAAUGGGCUAACACCCUUACCCACGAUUUACAAAUCUAAGAAUUACCAAAAUAAUGUUUAAUGACCCGAUAAUUCGAUCAAUGAACCAAGUUACCCUGGGGAUAACAGCGCAAUCUACUUCAAGAGCUCUUAUCGACAAGUAGGUUUACGACCUCGAUGUUGGAUCAGGGUAUCCUAGUGGUGCAACCGCUACUGAUGGUUCGUUUGUUC
rnacentral:rRNA from 1 species